GAUGAACGCUGGCGGCGUGCCUAAUACAUGCAAGUCGAGCGAACGGACGAGAAGCUUGCUUCUCUGAUGUUAGCGGCGGACGGGGGAGUAACACGUGGAUAACCUACCUAUAAGACUGGGAUAACUUCGGGAAACCGUAGCUAAUACCGGAUAAUAUUUUGAACCGCAUGGUUCAAAAGUGAAAGACGGUCUUGCUGUCACUUAUAGAUGGAUCCGCGCUGCAUUAGCUAGUUGGUAAGGUAACGGCUUACCAAGGCAACGAUGCAUAGCCGACCUGAGAGGGUGAUCGGCCACACUGGAACUGAGACACGGUCCAGACUCCUACGGGAGGCAGCAGUAGGGAAUCUUCCGCAAUGGGCGAAAGCCAGACGGAGCAACGCCGCGUGAGUGAUGAAGGUCUUCGGAUCGUAAAACUCUGUUAUUAGGGAAGAACAUAUGUGUAAGUAACUGUGCACAUCUUGACGGUACCUAAUCAGAAAGCCACGGCUAACUACGUG
rnacentral:rRNA from 1 species